rnacentral:rRNA from 1 species
AUGGCUGGGCAUGGACUGGAGUUGCAGGUCCAUAGCCGGAUCCCACGUAGUCUCCCACUGGCUCAGGAGUCUGGUAGAUGUUCGUCGCGUAACCAGGGCUGCUGUAUGGACUUGGGUACCCUUGGGAACCAUAUGCAUUUUGUGAUCCAUAUCCAGGAAGCGGGGUGCUUGGGUAGCUUCCGUAGGCUUGAUGUUGGUUCGCGGUGCUUGCGUAGCUUGUGUGAACUUGAUGCUGGUCUGCGGUGCUUGGGUAGCUUGCGUGAACUUGAUGCUGGUCUGCGGUGUUUGGGUAGCUCGGAUUCGGGUAGCUUGCGCAUGUCUGUUGCUGAUAUGGGGCAUUCGAGUAGCUUGACUGGAUCUGAUGUGGAGCACUUGAGUAGCCAGACGGCGCACCCGGAGCAUGCACGCCUUGUCCAUAUGAGUAGUUCAUUGGUGGUUCAAAGCUUGACGACGGAGAUGGUCCUGCCGCAGAAACACUCCCGGUAUAUGCUGAGCUAA